GUUAGGAUUUAAUCUUCAAUAAAAGUGGAAAAAGAAAAAAAAGGCAAGAGGUGGGGUUCGAAAUCAGAACCCUCAACUACAAAAAAAUAUCACUUAGCCAUUGAGCUGACACAGAAAUGCAAAGUUAAAAAAUUCAAUUUUAAUUUAUCAGUUCGAUUUGGUUUUACCGAAAUUAUUUUCUCUAAAAUUGAACCGAUCCAAAUUAAUAAAAAAUCUUAAAAAUUAAAACCAAACCAAUUUAUUAUAUAAACCGAAUCGAAUUAUCGAAUUAAAUUGAUUGCAAAUCUCCUCAAGUCCUUAGAAGGGAUUAUCCUGACAAUAGUCCAUGGAUAGGCAUCCAUGAAGAGACUAAACAAAAGAGGUCCCUUCCAAUUUAUGAGCUUGCCUUAGAAAUCAUCAGAAAUAAAGAAGGACGGAAACAGUCUUCUCCUAUUCCUUCUCUUACUCCUCCUGCACUACCAUUAAUGCAGCCUUGCAUGAUGUUCUCUCCUGCCUCUUAU
rnacentral:misc_RNA from 1 species